rnacentral:rRNA from 1 species
GACGAACGCGGCGGCGUGCCUAAUACAUGCAAGUAGAACGCUGAAGGAGGAGCUUGCUUCUCUGGAUGAGUUGCGAACGGGUGAGUAACGCGUAGGUAACCUGCCUGGUAGCGGGGGAUAACUAUUGGAAACGAUAGCUAAUACCGCAUAAGAGUAGAUGUUGCAUGACAUUUGCUUAAAAGGUGCAAUUGCAUCACUACCAGAUGGACCUGCGUUGUAUUAGCUAGUUGGUGGGGUAACGGCUCACCAAGGCGACGAUACAUAGCCGACCUGAGAGGGUGAUCGGCCACACUGGGACUGAGACACGGCCCAGACUCCUACGGGAGGCAGCAGUAGGGAAUCUUCGGCAAUGGACGGAAGUCUGACCGAGCAACGCCGCGUGAGUGAAGAAGGUUUUCGGAUCGUAAAGCUCUGUUGUAAGAGAAGAACGAGUGUGAGA